AUUGAACGCUGGCGGCAGGCCUAACACAUGCAAGUCGAGCGGAUGAAGGGAGCUUGCUCUUGGAUUCAGCGGCGGACGGGUGUGUAAUGCCUAGGAAUCUGCCUGGUAGUGGGGGAUAACGUCCGGAAACGGGCGCUAAUACCGCAUACGUCCUGAGGGAGAAAGUGGGGGAUCUUCGGACAUCACGUUAUAAGAUGAGCCUAGGUCGUAUUAGCUAGUUGGUGGGGUAAAGGCCUACCAAGGCGACGAUCCGUUACCGGUCUGAGAGGAUGAUAAGUCACACUGGAACUGGAACACGGCCCAGACUCCUACGGGAGGAAGCAGUGGGGAAUAUUGGACAAUGGGCGAAAGCCUGAUCCAGCCAUGCCGCGUAUGUGAAGAAGGUCUUCGGAUUGUAAAGCACUUUAAGUUGGGAGGAAGGGCAGUAAGUUAAUACCUUGCUGUUUUGACGUUACCAACAGAAUAAGCACCGGCUAACUUCGUG
rnacentral:rRNA from 1 species